AGUUUCUGACCUAUCAGCUUUCGACGGUAGGGUAUUGGCCUACCGUGGCAGUGACGGGUAACGGGGAAUUAGGGUUCGAUUCCGGAGAGGGAGCCUGAGAAACGGCUACCACAUCUAAGGAAGGCAGCAGGCGCGCAAAUUACCCAAUGAAAACAGUUUCGAGGUAGUGACGAGAAAUAACAAUACAGGGCAUUUUAUGCUCUGUAAUUGGAAUGAUGGGAAUGUAAAACCCUUUCAGAGUAACAAUUGGAGGGCAAGUCUGGUGCCAGCAGCCGCGGUAAUUCCAGCUCCAAUAGUGUAUAUUAGAGUUGUUGCAGUUAAAAAGCUCGUAGUUGGAUUUCUGUCGUGGUCAUCCGGUACCGCCCGUAUGGGUGCGCACCUGGUUUGCCCUCGGCUUUCUUCCGGUAGCCUUCCGCGCUUCACUGCGUGUCGA
rnacentral:rRNA from 1 species